rnacentral:rRNA from 1 species
UACGUAGGGGGCUAGCGUUGUCCGGAAUCAUUGGGCGUAAAGCGCGUGUAGGCGGCCACGCAGGUCCGUUGUGAAAACUAGAGGCUCAACCUCUAGACGUCGACGGAAACCGUGUGGCUAGAGUCCGGAAGAGGAGAGUGGAAUUCCUGGUGUAGCGGUGAAAUGCGCAGAUAUCAGGAAGAACACCAAUGGCGAAGGCAGCUCUCUGGGACGGUACUGACGCUGAGACGCGAAAGCGUGGGGAGCGAACAGG